rnacentral:rRNA from 1 species
UGUUGUUUUCUCGAAAAUCAAUUAAAAAAGGCAGGAUUUUGUGUUGUAUUGACUUUAUCAGCUUUCUGCACUCUUUUCUUGUCUUUUUUAAUGCACUUUUCGUUUAACAAGUCAACAUCAAUUUCUUUUGUUGUAGAAGGGUCAUUGGAAGGUGGCUUUCUUUUCGGAGAAAGUGUUUAUAGCCUUUGGCCUCUGCAAUCGGAGAGAUUGAGGUCUGCAGCGUAGAUCCUUCGGGGUUAGAUACAUUUGUGCUAAGUUAUAGCCUUUCAUAGACAACUUGUUGACUAUGAUCAGUCAUGUAGCUUACUCGCUUAUGCUAUUUUACCUAC